UUUCCUCUGCUGCUUUCCCCCAGCCAUCACAUUCUUUGCUGGUCCCUGCCAAGCAGAAUGGAUCUACCACUAUGCUGCCCAAGAGAACACAGCCUCCAUUCCUCCAACCUCAGGCAGUUCUUCUGCUGCCACCAUCAUCGCCACCACAGAAAGGCAAAAUCUGCGUGUGUUGUUGAAGAAGUUCAUGCAAUCUUGACCGUUUGACACAUACAGGCUUCAGACCUCAGAGGUUUAAAAGAUUUGUAUAUUAUGCUGCGUGGAGCCCCGCUCUUCCUAUGACCUGCCAUAAUAAGAGCUGAGCAUUGAGAACCAGGAGCAAUUUCACCUUCAGAAACAGUGUCCUAGUACCAACAUGUUCAAGCAGCUGACUCAACCUUGUGUGAUAGCAUCCAGCAGCCUGGCUUGUGGAAUACAUAGCUGCCUCAAUUUUUUUUGUUACUCCUGUGUAGCUGUUUUCGAUACUGGCAUCAGCUGAUUUCAAUUUUCAAACUGACAACUUCAAGUAUUUUUCUUUACUUGGUAUUUAAAAUUAGAUAAGGAAACAUAGAUAACUAUCUUGGAAAACUAUCUUUCAGUUUCAGAGCAUAUUUUCAGUAAUAGUGAGGUAAACAAAAGGCCCUUUUUACAGUCUUUCAAUAUUAAUAUGAUAGGAAAAAAAGAUACAUUGUUUUCCCAUUAUAGAUGAAA